rnacentral:pre_miRNA from 1 species
GUAUAUGGGCCUGAUUCAAAGCCCACUGGAGUCAAUGGAAAAUUCCCAUUGACUUCAUUGGGAUUUGGAUCAGGUCCUGUAAGC